rnacentral:lncRNA from 1 species
CCUGGAGAGGAUCAGCAGUUAACUGUGGUGGAUACCGUUUUCAGAGACACGUGUUCUCGCCAUUCUAUUCGACUCCUGAGAUGGUCUUUUUUUCGGUAACUACGAUGUCGUCGUUGCAGUCAAAACUAUACUUUCUGGAAAAGGAAACCAGUCGAAGACCACUGAAGCUGCUAAUGCUAACAUAUCUUUUUAGGCCAAUUAUUUGUUGUUUGGAUAGGAAACGUUGAGCGUCUAGAGCAUAUUGUGGAUGAAUGGACGUCGCGUAACAUGAUGCUGGCAUUAACCGACUCGCAUUUUCUAGUCCGGGGUUAGGGCCGUGCCAUCAUGCACUGUCCUGCUGUAGAGUUCGAUGACUCGAGACUGAACAAAAAGCGUUGCUGUCAAAAGGUUGAAGCGGGUACGCUUGUAGACCAUGCUCUAUAGACACCUGACCACAUUAAGUUCCUUACAGCAGCAAACUUGGUAACGUUGGCGUGUCUGUGCUGUCGCAUCUGUCGAUCGACGAGCCGCGUCGGCGACCCCCUGAGUUACAUCUGGUUGUAAUCAAGAUAGUUACGUGCACCGUGAGAGAUUACCGAACUGCCCGCUACGUGGAAUCCCGUAACUUGUCAGUGAAGCAGGGGCAGAACCAAACUGCCGGUGGAUCGCCUUCGGUGUUUAAGAUGGUUUUAUACGUUUUCUUUGCCUACCAAUCCCACGGUUGCGUUACUCAUCCCGCUGCAGUGCAUUACUGGGCUCGCGUAACUUUUCUAUCAGUUUACUUGUAUUAUGGGAAGACAGUGAUGGAGCUCUUUUUUUAACACACAUCGAGUCGCAUUGACUCGUGAACAACUCAGCCGUUACAAUGCGCACGAAUAUACUGCUGAGGGGUGCUGAAGGGUACGAGAGAGGGGCUAGUGUGUGUGUGUGUGUGGACUAGCGGAGAGUCUAACGGCACGGGUAGAAAGGGUCUCCGGCUGGUGGUACUAACGACAGCUAGCUAAGGCAACCUUCCCAGCAUUUCUCCCUGGCGCUGCACUUUUCCGUUGCACAUUUGAGAUGAUUUCAGCGGUUUUGGGAGGAUGGCAUGAAGCUCUCAGGAGAGUGCCGAUGAUCGUUGCACUGUUCAGCACACGAGAAAUAUAGCGGUGUCUUCGCUGCAGCGUCCAUGAGGAGGCCGAGGCA